CCCUAUGGGGUGCAGCAGGCGAGAAAACUUUGCAAUGUGCGAAAGCACGACAAGGUUAAUCCGAGUGGUUUCUGCUAAAGGAACCUUUUGUCGGUCCUAGAAACACCGAUGAAUAAGGGGUGGGCAAGUUCUGGUGUCAGCCGCCGCGGUAAAACCAGCACCUCAAGUGGUCAGGAUGAUUAUUGGGCCUAAAGCAUCCGUAGCCGGCUCUGUAAGUUUUCGGUUAAAUCUGUACGCUCAACGUACAGGCUGCCGGGAAUACUGCAGAGCUAGGGAGUGGGAGAGGUAGACGGUACCCGGUAGGAAGGGGUAAAAUCCUUUGAUCUGUUGAUGACCACCUGUGGCGAAGGCGGUCUACCAGAACACGUCCGACGGUGAGGGAUGAAAGCUGGGGGAGCAAACCGGAUUAGAUACCCGGGUAGCCCCAGCUGUAAACUAUGCAAACUCAGUGAUGCAUUGACUUGUGGUCAAUGCAGUGCUGCAGGGAAGCCGUUAAGUUUGCCGCCUGGGAAGUACGUACGCAAGUAUGAAACUUAAAGGAAUUGGCGGGGGAGCACCACAAGGGGUGAAGCCUGCGGUUCAAUUGGAGUCAACGCCAGAAUCUUACCCGGAGAGACAGCAGAAUGAAGGUCAGCUGAGACUUUACCAUGACAGCUGAGAGGGAGGUGCAUGUCC
rnacentral:rRNA from 1 species